GAAGCCAGGCCAAGAAGAAUCCCAGGACUGGAAGGCCUUGUGGGACGUCCCAGGUUUGUCUUGUGUCAAUAGCACUGAUACUCAAUCUCCUACUCCCAUCUGUGAGCAUGCAGACCCUACUUGCCUUCCCACAGCCUCCCUUUUCAUAUUUUUCAUGUUUCUUUAGCUCUGUCUUCAAGCCUUGUUGCUCCCGCAAAAAAACCUGCCUCUUCCUCCAGUCCUCCCAAGCAGGGGGAACAGUCCUGACACCUUUCCAAGCCCUGGUCCAUGGACAUUGUGCCCCCUUCUCCCUGCCCAUGGUGACCUGCUCCAAAACCCUCAAGGAGAAGGGAGUGUAUGUCAUUUCCUCCCUGUAAAGUAAAGAUAAUUUUGCAGGGGACUGUGUGGAUGAAAUGACAUGAUGCAUGGAAAUCCCUUAGCGUGUGCCUGGCAUGUAAACUGCAGGUGUCAUCAUUAUUACUGAGGAAUACUGAGUCCCGAACAUGGCUGUCUCAUUGGUGGACUGGGGUCUCCCCCAGGGCAUUCAUCUACUAUGUGUUUAUUGCACCCUUUUUCCAUGUGAGGCACAUGCCAGGGACUGGGCACAUGGUAUGAACAAGACACAGGUCAUCGGUGUCCUCUUGAGCUCCCUGGCUUGGCAGCAGAUGCAUACCUGGGAAGGAUGCUAGGUCAUCCGGGAACUCUACCUCCUUCAAAUCCCUAAGGACUGUGCUCCCAAUCCGCUUACGCUCAAGGAAGAACUGGCAGGACCUGCAGCUAAGCAAGACGUAGGACUGCAAGCUGGGUUGGCACCCUCCCCCUAGGGAGUUCUCCAGGCCUUGCCCCCUCUGUCCCCAGCCUGGAAGCCCUCCCUGGUACCAUACCCCAGCCGAUGAGUAUGUACCCCCAGAAGUACUUCCGCUCAGAGAAGAAGGAGACGGCAAGCAGGGUGUACAGGAAGGCCCAGAACCAGCCUGCUGUCAGGAUCAGAACAAAAGAGGAGGACUGCAUAUGUAUGGACCCACUCCAGAUGGCACGGGGACGGGGGGAGUAGGAAAAGUGGCAUGAUGAGGAAAUGGAGGCACAGACUGAUUAGAAAACCAGCUCAAGGUCAUGUUGCUGCUCUCUCAUUCCUGUUGAGGGCUCUCUGGUGGAGCCUCUGUCUCACAGGUCACCUGCAGGCCAACACUCCCAGAAGCAGCUAGCACCAUGGUUGACCUCGUCCAGGUCCAGGGAAGGCCUCCCUCUCCAGGACUCCUUUAGAUUUCCCCAGCAUCCAGACCUCACCUGCCUAAGUGCUGUUGCCCUGGAAGCCACAGUGAGCACGAGCUCCAUCUUGCACCUUUACCAGCCAAUGGGGGUAAAGACAUUAGCUGGGAAGCCUGAGACCACAGCUACUGCCUCGAAUCAGAAGCCCCAGCCUCAUCAUCUGGGGCCAGAGAACUAGGGCAGGAGGAGCCAAGUAGCACAGCAGGAAGCAUGAGUCCCUCCGAGGAGAAGCUGGUCUCUGAGAGGAGCACAGAAUGCAGCAGGCUGGAUAAGCCCCCUGCUGAAAUCAUGGGGUAAAAAAGAGACACAGGGGGAAUGGAGGAGCCAGAGAGAAAGCAGUGUGAUCACAGGCACACAGGACAGCAGCUCACCUUCCCAUCCUUGCUGGCUUUUGCACCCAACAGCCCAAAGCCUCCCCGCUGCAAAUUCUUUUUUUUUUUUUUUUUUGCCAGCCUCACUUCCUCUUGGGGAAGGCUGAGCUCUGGUAGAAGAAGAGAAUGAGAACUGCUGUAAAUACUUCUAAGGGGCCAGGCGUGGUGACUCAUGCUUGUAAUUCCAAGCACUUUGGGAGGCUGAGGCAGGUGGAUCACCUGAAGCCAGGAGUUCAAGAGCAGCCUGGCCAACAUGGCGAAACCCUGUCUCUACUAAAAAUACAAAAUUUAGCCAGGCAUGGUGGCGGGAGCCUGUAAUCUCAGCUCCUAGGGAGGCUGAGCCAGAAGAAUCGCUUAAACCUGGAAGCUGGAGGUUGCAGUGAGCCAAGAUCACACCACCACACUCCAGCCUGGGUGACAGAGCAAGACUCCAUCUCAAAAAGAAAAAAAAGAAAAAAAGGAAAUACUUCUAAGUUAUGUGAGAGAGUACAUACUGACAUUUUCAAUGGGUACAAUAA
rnacentral:lncRNA from 1 species